rnacentral:misc_RNA from 1 species
GGAGCUUGAUCAGUUCAUGACACACUAUGUACUGUUACUGUGUUCCUUCAAAGAGCAACUACAACAACAUGUAAGAGUCCAUGCAAUGGAAGCAGUGAUGGCUUGCUGGGAACUUGAACAAUCUCUUCAAAGCCUGACAGGAGUCUCUCCUGGAGAGGGAACUGGUGCAACUAUGUCCGAUGACGACGAUGAUCAGGCCGAUAGUGAAACUAACUUCUA